GUGGGCAGAAUGGAGAUAGCCUAAUGUGUGGCUUUAUGCUAGCAAACAGAAACUUUUAAUGUAAUUGUAAUGUCUUACUUAUUGAUAAGUAAACUGGCAAUAUUUUCACAAAUUAACUGUGUCGAAUGUUUCAUCUUAAGUUUCCCGCAUAAUAACGUGUGUAUAUAACAGGAUAAUUAUUAUUUAAUUGUAAUAUUUUCUUAUCACUCCUAUUUUUAAUUUUAUUUGUUAUUGCUGUACUUCACUUAUUCAGAUAGAGAGAGAGAAAUAGUUUUCCAUUACCAUCUUCUGUUUUCAUCAAAAUAAUUAACUUUUGUCAUGGGAGAACCCUAUGGUUUAGGGAGUGAGAUGUACAGUCACAAGAAAAGUAAAAAGAGGGUGUAAAACAUCGAAGAAAACAUGGACAGAAGUAGUGGCUUGAAAAGGCCUCGUUUGGAUUCUGUUCAAGGGUAUGGAGCUUCAAACUUUGAAGAAACUAAUCAGUUUUCCUGUAAUGAAGAAUUGUGGGGUGAUGAAGAAAUGACAGCUGAGGAAUUUGAUUUGUUAGAGAGUCAAGUUAUGGAGCUUGAAACACAGAAGACAGACAGUAGGCCACUGCCUCAUAAGAUAUCAGAUCAGACACCUAGUGUUACAGUUACCAAACUUAUGUCUAGCUCUCCACCUGGAUUCUGUACAUUACAGAAUUUAGAAAUUGGUACUAGUACAUCUAAUAACUUAAAUCAAAGUAAUGAGUUGGUGGUUGUUCUUCAGACAAAAUUAAAAGAACACCAACAAGAAAUUAGUGAAUUGAAAAAUCACCAGUAUGUUCAAGAAGGACAGCUUAGCAUGCUUAGAACUUCUCUAGAACAAAGGUCCAAAGAACUUGAUCAAGAGAGGUUGGAACGUGAAUGCUUGCUAGAUAUCAAACUUCAAGAACAAAAACAAGAGGAAUUGAAAUUAAAGCAACAAAUUGAGAAGCUCCAAACUGAACUUCAUUUCAAAGAUCAGGAAAUCCGAGAAGCUCUGGAGAAAAUUCAGGCAUUGGACCAAAGAUGUAAGCAUAAAUUAAACAUUCCAGAGGAAAAAUUGCCUUUGGGGAGCAGCAAGUCAUCACAGAAGCUGAAUUGUUCUUCACAACAAGGGAAGGCUUGUGAGAAUGGGUUUUUAGCAAGAUUUUCUUCUAUGACAGAACAGAAAUCUGCAGUGGGAAUUCAAACAGAAGACGAAUUUGUUUUAAGAGAUUUUGAAAAGUUUAGUGUAAACAAGCAGAACCUCUCUCUUGUUGACAGGUUAUUAGCAAGUGGUGUGCCUUCCUGGUUCAUUGAGAGUUUGAUAAAUCACAAAGCAUCUUCUUUAAGUUCCUCAGAUAUAGAAAAAAUACACUUUAAUAAAGCUCUACUUAAACCAAUAUCUAUGCUACCAAGGGCAACAGAAGAUCCUGGAAGUAGACUUUUAAUAGCAUCCUUAUUUCCCUCUGUAGGAUACGAGAGCAUGUCUAGUUACUUGAAACAUAUGGUUAGCUAUAGUAAGCAAGAGACCAGCAAGUUCAACUGUAUAAGUGUCCAUGUUGAUAUUUUAGAAGUUGUGGUAAAGUACCUUCAGGAGUUCCUGGAGUCCCUCAACACUUCUUCUUUUCCCAUUGUGUCCGAUUUGGGAAGAAUUCCCAAAACACAGCCAACAUCUGCUUCAGCAACUCAAGAUUCUAACUCUCUUCAUGAAUACAAGGAAGUGACAGCUGUCUUUGGCCUCCAAACUGUGGUCACAAUUUUAUCAUCACUAUCUCCACAUAUUGGUAGUUUUUUCUCUUCUGCAUUAGAGGAUAUUGAUGAGAAUGGUCAUCUCACCCAGCUGGCUUCGUCAGCUAAUCUUUUCACUCAGAAAGACAACUUUUGUGUUUCAUCUGGAACAAAGCUUCAGGACAAAACUGAAACAGCUAUACACAGAUUCAUCUUGCUUCUUUUGCGUGCUGCUAAUCCUCAGUUCCUAAAUGGUGAAUUAGUUAAUCAGACUGUUUUGGAGUGGUCACUUAUGGUACUGCUCAGCAUUGUGCAUUCUGUCAUGCAAAAUGGUGGGUCAGUGAAAAAAUUACUCUGUCAGCUUGAUGUGGCUACUUUAGUAAGUGGGAGUUAUGGUAUAGAAAUGGCUUGGAUUACUUUGAAUAUACUUGUUUGUGCACUCCCUGAAAGGACUGUAGCAGAAACUGUACUUAGACACUGCUCAAAACCAGUGGAACAGUCUUGUGUCUUUAAAAAUGUUAGUGAACUUUGUAAUCAGUUGGUAGGAAGUAAUGUAGGAAUUAGGACAGAUGUUGUGAGCCUAAUUAUAGACUUUAUAUCAAAAACUAUGUCAACGUUAGGAUUUGAUUUUGUUCUCUCUACAGACUGCUGUGCUGCAGGAGUAAUGGCUUCCAUAAUGAGGGUUUUACACCAAGAACUUGAGAACUUUCAGGUAUUAAACACUGAGAAGAGCAAAACAUGCUUAAAAAAAGGAAUAUCUUUGCUAGCCUUAGUAUCUAGAUACUGUUCGAGUAGUUUCUCUCAGCUGUGUAGCACAGCACGGGGCGAGUGGGCUAACUUUCUGCAUGACCUCAUGAUCAUGUGUGCAAGUGACACAUCCUUUAAGCAGAAUGUGAGAGAUGAUGUUCAAGAGCUUUGGAAUAAUUUUGCCACAGAAGAUGUUGGUGAAAUCAUUCCUGCAGGAUGCUCUAGCAGUUCAGGUGAAACAUCAAGUACAGGGUCACAGAAACUCCUGCCAAAAGUAUCAGAUGUAGAAAAGUCGUGUCAGUCGUGGUCAUGAAGUUUAAUUUUAGAAUGAGGAUACCCAUAUUAUCUUGGUGUGGUUCUCAUCAUGCUAGAAAUUUUAAUUUGAAAGAGCAUUAAGUGAAUUAAAAGCACAAAGGAAUGGUGUUUGUUUUUAUAUAACUAUUUGUUUUACAAGCUGUCUAGGUAAAUACAUAAAACUGUUGUCUAUGCUCAUUGUCAGUUUUCUUUGGUUAUGAAUUUUUCACACAAGGAAAUAACUGGGUAAUUUAUCUGUGUGAAUAAAGUUCAUUCGAUCAUCAUCAUCACACGCGUAAACUUUCUUGAUUACUUCUUCAUUUCAUGUGUGACACAGCUGUUGUGUCACAAGACUGCCAGUAUUUCCAGAUAGGAGAACAUUACUUCUUGGGUUCAUGAGUUACCCAGCGUUUAGAUGUAGAAACAAUAAUAUCAUGAUUUUUAACAGUUCAAAAUUGAAGUUUUCUCUAAAGAUCUGUUAGUUUCUGAUGUUGGAAAUAAAAAUGCAAUUAUUGAAACAUUUUAACUUUGUUUUAAUGUUUGUUUGGACUAGAAGUUAUUUACUGUUUUUCGAAACCAAGCCGAUACUCUAUAACUUUAUGCCAUUAACACAAGUGAUACUAUAUCUAUGGUGUAUUUUUAUAACUAUACUAAUAUGUAGCUCUUGACGUAACACAAGUGAUACUAUAUCUAUGGUGUGUUUUUAUAUAACUAUACUAAUAUGUAGCUCCUGACGUAACACAAGUGAUACUAUAUCUAUGGUGUGUUUUUAUAUAACUAUUCUAAUAUGUAGCUCUUGACGUAACACAAGUGAUACUACAUCUAUGGUGUGUUUUUAUAUAACUAUACUAAUAUGUAACUCUUGACGUAACACAAGUGAUACUAUAUCUAUGGUGUGUUUUUAUAUAACUAUACUAAUAUGUAGCUCUUGACUAACACAAGUGAUACUAUAUCUAUGGUGUGUUUUUAUAUAACUAUACUAAUAUGUAGCUCUUGAUCUAACACAAGUGAUACUACAUAUAUGGUGUGUUUUUAUAUAACUAUACUAAUAUGCAGCUCUAAUGCUACUAAUUUAUUCAGCAGGCUGAGUGUCUUAGACACUUUCUGAAAAGACUAACUAAAUUACAUCCGACGUUUCGAUUUCACAACUUUGCCAAGGGUUACAACUACUGACGUGGCUCGGCUAUAACCGAAAAGAAGACUCGGUUCGAUCGUUUUUGGCGGUAAUUUCGGUAUAAAAUCUUUCGAGGUAAACCUUGGAAGAAACGUCAGUUUCUGUUCUACCUGCCCGUGAUGGGGUUAGGGCUGUAGAUGUGUUUCAAUAUCACACAUGAUUGCUAAUAUUAUUAUUACAUUAGCUUUAGUAUUAAACCAUAAACAUAGGUACGUGGGGGUUUUGUGGGACGCUAUAAUGUAUAUCUAGUGUACAAUAUACGAGAGAACUGAUUUCACCUACAUCGUGUAUGAAGAACGAGAGAACUGAUUCCGUCUACAUCGUAUAUGUAAUGUAUGAACAACAAGAGAACUGAUUCCAUCUACAUCGUACAUGUAGUGUAUGAACAACGAGAGAACUGAUUCCAUCUACAUCGUAUAUGUAAUGUAUGAACAACGAGAGAACUGAUUCCAUCUACAUCGUACAUGUAGUGUAUGAACAACGAGAUAACUGAUUUCAUCUACAUCGUAUAUGUAGUGUAUGA